rnacentral:rRNA from 1 species
GACGUAGGGGGCAAGCGUUGUCCGGAUUUAUUGGGCGUAAAGGGCGCGUAGGUGGCGCGAGGAGUCAACGGUGAAAGCUCGGCGCUCAACGCCGAGUCGGCCGUCGAUACUCUCGUGCUCGAGCACUGUAGAGGCAGAUGGAAUUCCGGGUGUAGCGGUGGAAUGCGUAGAGAUCCGGAAGAACACCGGUGGCGAAGGCGGUCUGCUGGGCAGUUGCUGACACUGAGGCGCGACAGCGUGGGGAGCAAACAGG